rnacentral:rRNA from 1 species
GGAACGAGCGGCGGACGGGUGAGUAACACGUGGGCAACCUACCUAUAAGACUGGGAUAACUCGCGGAAACGUGAGCUAAUACCGGAUAAUACUUUUUAUUGCAUAAUAAGAAGUUUGAAAGGCGGCGUAAGCUGUCACUUAUAGAUGGGCCCGCGGCGCAUUAGCUAGUUGGUGAGGUAAAGGCUCACCAAGGCAACGAUGCGUAGCCGACCUGAGAGGGUGAUCGGCCACACUGGGACUGAGACACGGCCCAGACUCCUACGGGAGGCAGCAGUAGGGAAUCUUCCGCAAUGGACGAAAGUCUGACGGAGCAACGCCGCGUGAGUGAAGAAGGUUUUCGGAUCGUAAAACUCUGUUGUUAGGGAAGAACAAGUCAGGUAGUAACUGACCUGACCUUGACGGUACCUAACCAGAAAGCCACGGCUAACUACGUGCCAGCAGCCGCGGUAAUACGUAGGUGGCAAGCGUUGUCCGGAUUUAUUGGGCGUAAAGCGCUCGCAGGCGGUCUUUUAAGUCUGAUGUGAAAGCCCACGGCUUAACCGUGGAGGGUCAUUGGAAACUGGAGGACUUGAGUGCAGAAGAGGAGAGUGGAAUUCCAUGUGUAGCGGUGAAAUGCGUAGAGAUAUGGAGGAACACCAGUGGCGAAGGCGACUCUCUGGUCUGUAACUGACGCUGAGGAGCGAAAGCGUGGGUAGCGAACAGGAUUAGAUACCCUGGUAGUCCACGCCGUAAACGAUGAGUGCUAGGUGUUAGGGGGUUUCCGCCCCUUAGUGCUGAAGUUAACGCAUUAAGCACUCCGCCUGGGGAGUACGGCCGCAAGGCUGAAACUCAAAAGAAUUGACGGGGACCCGCACAAGCGGUGG